rnacentral:rRNA from 1 species
UGGGGAAUAUUGCACAAUGGGCGCAAGCCUGAUGCAGCCAUGCCGCGUGUGUGAAGAAGGCCUUCGGGUUGUAAAGCACUUUCAGCGAGGAGGAAGGUGGUGAGCUUAAUACGCUCAUCAAUUGACGUUACUCGCAGAAGAAGCACCGGCUAACUCCGUGCCAGCAGCCGCGGUAAUACGGAGGGUGCAAGCGUUAAUCGGAAUUACUGGGCGUAAAGCGCACGCAGGCGGUUUGUUAAGUCAGAUGUGAAAUCCCCGGGCUCAACCUGGGAACUGCAUUUGAAACUGGCAAGCUAGAGUCUCGUAGAGGGGGGUAGAAUUCCAGGUGUAGCGGUGAAAUGCGUAGAGAUCUGGAGGAAUACCGGUGGCGAAGGCGGCCCCCCUGGACGAAGACUGACGCUCAGGUGCGAAAGCGUGGGGCAGCAAACAGGAUUAGAUACCCUGGUAGUCCACGCUGUAAACGAUGUCGAUUUGGAGGUUGUGCCCUUGAGGCGUGGCUUCCGGAGCUAACGCGUUAAAUCGACCGCCUGGGGAGUACGGCCGCAAGGUUAAAACUUAAAUGAAUUG